GAUGAACGCUGGCGGCGUGCCUAAUACAUGCAAGUCGAGCGAACGGACGAGAAGCUUGCUCCUCUGAUGUUAGCGGCGGACGGGUGAGUAACACGUGGAUAACCUACCUAUAAUACUGGGAUAACUUCGGGAAACCGCAGCUAAUACCGGAUAAUAUUUUGAACCGCAUGGUUCAAAAGUGAAAGACGGUCUUGCUGUCACUUAUAGAUGGAUCCGCGCUGCAUUAGCUAGUUGGUAAGGUAACGGCUUACCAAGGCAACGAUGCGUAGCCGACCUGAGAGGAUGAUCAGCCACACUGGAACUGAGACACGGUCCAGACUCCUACGGGAGGCAGCAGUAGGGAAUAUUGGGCAAUGGGCGAAAGCCUGACGGAGCAACGCCGCGUGGGUGAUGAAGGUCUUCGGGUCGUAAAGCUCUGUUAUUGGGAAAGAACAGCUGUAUGAGAAACUGUGCCCGUCUUGACGGUACCUAAUCAGAAAGCAACGGCUAACUUCGUG
rnacentral:rRNA from 1 species